AGUUGUACGGAGAGGGCGGGACUCGAACUGAAAUGAACAAGGCGCGGCCAAGAGCCCCUUCCUUCACACGUGUAGACAAAGGGACCCAUCAACACAACCCAAACAUGCAGGGAAAAGUUUUCCCGUGCGCGCGACUCCACGCCAGCACCUCGCGAGGCGCCCAGGCCAGCAUGCACGGGACUUUCAGCAGACGCCCUCUGAAGGAUUUCAUUAAUGAUUAUUUUUCGCUGUGGAAUAUUUUUACUUUCCUUCUGGAUUAUUGGAUAUUCACAAUGAGAAUUACUUUCAUCGUAGCAUUAGACACCAUGGACAAACAUAAGCAUCAGAUGGAUCUUCUGCAGCGGUGAGGAGAGGAACAGAUGAGCGGCUCAGGAAGUGUCCUUGUCUUCUUCCUCUUCACAUGAUGAUCUUGUGUGUCAUGGGCCUCUGCUCUCUCUCAGAAACUGCUUUUUGGCGCCUGGCUCAGAAUGAACAUUCAUCACUGGUGGGCAGGACGCGGCGCGAAACUCUAACGGCCAAAGUUCACGCAGAGAGGAAAGCUGAACUCCUCAAGAGCAGCCCGAGAAAUCCAGCUCCAGCACAGAGGAGCCUCAUCGCCUCAUCGCCUCCUCUCCGCUCUGCUCCAGCCCUAGAGGACCAUAAACACAGCCUCUCCUCACAGCAGCCCGGGCCCGAGCCCAGCAUCUCUAUUACUAUUCCUGUUGCCACAGGGCAUUGAACCGCGGCGAACUGCGACCCCUGGCCUUAUUUUCAAAGAUGAUCUGUGAACUCGACUGAGGCUCAGCGAUUCGCUGUGAAUGCAGCCGUGCAGAGAGGGGAGCAGGUGAAUCGCUCUUCCUCUGCUGUUGUUUUUGAUGUGGAACAUGGUCUGAGGCGAUUUCUCAGUGUGUGCAGAGAGCAAACACAGGGAAGUCAAAUAAUUUGGCUUGAGACAUUGAGAAGUCCACAACUAACAAUACAGAUGUCAGCGAAAGCUGUGUGCGUUUUGAUUUCCAAAUGCUUUGUGCAAAGCAUACUUUGCUUCCUCUUGCAUCAAUUAAGACUUUAGGUGAUAAGGUCCGGCAUCUGAAAAAUAACCCCAGGAAGCAGAAUUAAGUUAAAACAUGCUCCUCACAUCCUCCUGUCCUCACUGAAAUAAAGGCAGCUAAAUGUUGUUCGUUUAGUUGUGUACAUCACCCUUUUACUGCCUCAAAUCCUUCCUGCUUCUCUCUGUGUGUGUAAAUCAAUUUGGGCUCUAGGCUGAUCUGCCUCACAGACACCUUUUCCUUUGAUUGGGUUCCCACCGCAGCCUAGUGCAGGACUGCAGCCAGCAUUAAGUUCUUUGAGGGAUUUGUACUCCCCCUAGUCCUGGCUUACCCGCAUUGACUCUAUCUGCUGUCCUCCACCGGCUCGGAGAAUUCACAAACCCGGGAUCUGUUGGGCGGGAAGGAAAGAGGCUUUCGCGGCAGACCUACCUGCAGGGCAAACGUCCUUCACAGGCCAGGAUCAGAAACUCCUGUUUGUAAUGAAUUCAAGCCACAUACAAAGAACAGUUUUUGGCUUUUGGGACAGCAUCCACUGCAUCCUUGAAAGACAACCAACCUUGUGUGCUUGAAUCUGGGUUAAUUGAAGCUUAAAUUAAGACUUGGUUUGGUUGUGAUUUUGAUGGAAAACUAUUAAAUAUACUACCGUU